rnacentral:rRNA from 1 species
CCCUUAGAUGUCCGGGGCCGCACGCGCGCUACACUGAAGGAAUCAGCGUGGCUUUCUCCCUGACCCGAAAGGGUUGGGAAACCCGUUGAAUCUCCUUCGUGAUAGGGAUUGGGGCUUGAAAUUGUUCCCCAUGAACGAGGAAUUCCCAGUAAGCGCGAGUCAUAAGCUCGCGUUGAUUACGUCCCUGCCCUUUGUACACACCGCCCGUCGCUACUACCGAUUGAACGGUUUAGUGAGGGCCUCGGAUUGGUCUCGGCCCGCUCUUUACCGGGCGGCGCCGUUGGUCGAGAAGACGCUCGAACUUUAUCGUUUAGAGGAAGUAAAAGUCGUAACA